UUACCUUGAAAGUUAGAUGUUCUAACUUUGCUAAUCCAAACUUGAAGAUGAUGUUGCAAGCCACACAUGCAUCUGACCUCUAGGAGUCAUCCACACGAGCCCACGAAUCACGAUCAAAAGUCCUGGUCCAAGAAAUCAGCAUAGUAUGCUAGUACUGUGCUGAUUCUUCUUCGAUGGUCGAUCAGAUGCCUCUUUCUUCUUGAUUUAGACUCUUCCAAAGAUAAGAAAUAGGAGAAGAAGUUUUAGAUGUGAGAUACUCUUAGAAAACUCAUAGAU
rnacentral:lncRNA from 1 species